rnacentral:rRNA from 1 species
GACGAACGCUGGCGGCGUGCCUAAUACAUGCAAGUCGAACGCAGUGGGGACGGGUGAGUAACACGUGGGUAACCUCCCAUCAGAGGGGAUAACACUUGGAAACAGGUGCUAAACCGAUAUUGAAGGAUGGACCCGCGGUGCAUUAGCUAGUUGGUGGGGUAACGGCUCACCAAGGGCACGAUGCAUAGCCGAACAUGGAAGGUGAUCGGCCACACUGGGACUUGAACGCGGCCCAGAAUCCUAAGGGAGGCAGCAGGAGGGAAUCUUCGGCAAUGGACGAAAGUCUGGCCGAGCAACGCCGAGUGAGUGAAGAAGGUUUUCGGAUCGUAAAACUCUGUUGUUAGAGAAGCGGUAUCUAACCAGAAAGCCACGGCUAACUACGUGCCAGCAGCCGCGGUAAUUC